UCCAUCUCCCUCGCGUACCCUCCAUCUCUCUCUCAAGGAGGACGCGGCCAUAGGGCGACGGCGCCCUCUCAGGCGGCGCGCUGGCACGAGCAGGCCAUGGCGGCCCUCCUCCCUCAUCCCUGACCCGCCCUAGAUCUGCCGCUGCCGGUGCCCAUACUGAAGGUCCUCGCCGCCAUCCGCACCACCUGAACGCCCUCGAUCCGCACCAAGGUUAACUCCAUCAACGCAGUUCAAGGUCGUCCCACCAAGGAAGAGCCGCAACAGCAGGCACAGUGGUAGAGGCGGGUAGUGUUUCGGUAGGUGACGUCGCAACCGGCGGAGGAGCGCCAAGCUGGUGGGGUCAAGUCGCAGCCGGCGGCCAGCGCGCUGCCGCUCGCCGCUCGCUGCUCAGCCGCUCCCGGCUUCCCCCCAUGCUCACAAGCGCCCAGCCCCGGCGGCGGUGGUGCGACGCCCAGCCUUGAGCCGGGACUCCCUAGCCCCGGCGUCCCGUUCGAGCUCCGCGUCCCGGCUGGCCACAGCAGCAUCCUCCUCCUCACCUGCUCCCUCGCCCUUCUGUUCGCCGUCAUCGGCACGAACGCGAGGUGCGAGGACACGCCGCUCCUCCUCGCCUGCUCCAGCGGCGUUCCGUUUUGCCCCGCCAUCUGUGGACGCGAGGAGCAAGAAGUGUGGUGACUGUGUGCAGAUCUGCUCUGGGCGACACAAAGUAAGACUACAGGUAAAUUUCCUCCCUCCAUGCAACCACUAACUUAUGAGUUAGCACAUUUGCAGAAAUCGCUGAGGGUACGGGGCUGAUUGGAGUUGUGAUUUGUAUGGAAGAUGUCAGAGGUUCUGGUAUUAGAGACUGAAGUUUUGCAAGCGCGUGUUGCUGCUUUGGAGUUUUAGCAGCUGUGUUGUGUGGUUGGGAGCCAUGGAGUCACAGAUGGAUCUGUACGAGGUUAUAGAGCAGAAUGGUCAUGGCGCCUUUGGUGCUGCCAUCCUCGUGAACCACAGGACUGAGAAAAAGAAGUUUAAUUGCUGAGUCUGUUUCCCCAUAAAUUUCUUAGCCGAGAGUUGUUUGCUUUGCUAAUGCAGGUAUGUGUUGAAGAAAAUACGUCUGCAAGGUAGACAUAAUGAUGCCACAAGUCUGGUCACCAAGAGGUCAACAGAAUUUUUCGUGUCCCCAUGAAUUUGUGAAUGUCGUGAGCUUGUAUCCCGGCUCUUUGCUCCAUCCUUUUUUGGUUCUGGUCUGAUAACUAAUUUUGACUGCUGGUAGAGACUUAAGAACUAUACGUGAAAACCAAGACAUGUAUAUCUACAUCCAUAAUCCUGUAAGCUUUAUUUUUUCUGAAAUGUAUGACACAAGCUUCAACAUCGGUUUAGUUAAUGUCCAUUCUAUGGGGUAGUAUAAUUCAUUUGUUUGGAUGCAACAAAUUCAGUUUAGUUUUCCAUAAGUAGCGUUCACUGCAAUAUGUACUAAACUUGAGACAAUCUUGCAAUAUACUUGCUUGACAAAAUUCAAAGUCAACUCGAAUGUACCCUACUAUGAUUUUUAUGAAUAUUUGCCUACGAUGGUUUAGAUCACAUGAUGCAUUUUUUUUGAAGGGAUAAGGUAGGUAUUUUUUUGGCAAUAGCUUUCUUUGUUCAUUGUUCCAUUCAUCUAUUAGAUCAAUACUCUUCCUCAAUCUACUAUAUCAGUGCUCUUGCCCAAUCUACUAGAUGGUUCUGGAUGCUUCAUCUCAGGUUGGGAUGCGAUUUGUUGUUUUUUCUGUCUCUCUUAAAUUGUUGCUUCGUUUCCUACAAGUAAGCAUCUGCUGCCUUUUUCUGUAACUUUUUGCAACUAUUGAAUUGUUGCUUCUGUUUCAAAUUGCAGCUUUAGAGCUACACAUUGGAUUGGAUAGAGGAGCAGAACUGCGGGUGGACGGGUGAAAAACCAGGAAGCUGCCAAGAAGACUGCCCACUGGACUGCCAAUGAUCCCUCAGUUCUCAUGUCACCGAGUGGACUGUUCAGUUCAUGUACCCUUCGUUCUCUGCCUUGCUCCCUUGAUGGAGUCUGCACAUUUAGCCAUGGUGAUGUACUGCUUGAGCUGCUCUGUACUAGCAACAUUUUUCUUUUCAAAGUUGUGUUGAUGGAUCAUGUAUUUGAGGCAAUAGGAACUAGCUAGAUUUUUUACUGGCAUUGUUUAGAUGCAAUUUUUUUUGAAAUUUUGACACUA